AGUCGUUUUCUGUCCAGAGAACAGAUGGCCGCUCUAUAACGUUAUUCUCUAGAUUUACAAAAACUGAUGUUGCAGGCCCGCCGUAGAUAGCUACGUACAGCAAUUGUCGAAGCGGAAAGAAGAACUCCAGCAAAGGAUCGAAGGCUCUCACUGCCACAGACGUAAGGUUCGUCAGGCUUGACGAUUGCAGUACAACUGCUGCUGUCAGAGAGAAGAUGAAGAAGAGACUCAAUGAGGCAGGGACUAAAGCAGAGAUGGAAGAUGACAAUACACAUUCGCACCAACUCCAGUUACAACGUAUUCAAAACCGUCAUAACUCGGAAGGUGGAACCUCAAAAACCGAUGUGCAAACUUCGAGCUCAUGUGCGACAAAUGAGAAUCCAUUGGACCCGCUUUCCUGUGGUGCCAGUUCGAAUAGUCAGGAAUGUGCUUCCAGGCGACUUCAGGAUAGCUUAUAUUAUGAUGAAGCAUCAGUUGCACUGGCAGUUGGGAGUCUCAGUCCGCAUGAAACAAACUUGACGGUACCGAGCAUCCAUGCUGAGCCUGGAUGUCCUCAGUCAGCACCAGUGCCGAAUGCUGAUCAUGCUGGUCAUGCACGGUGCUCUAUGGACAUAUCUGGUGUGGAGGAAGAAAAUGCAGCUGAAGAGCAUUACCAGUUAGUGAAUGAAAGCUCCAACAAUCUUGAGGGCCUCAUCUACGAUGUGUGGUCCUCGUCAAUUCUGCCCUGCCUUGAUGUCAGGUCAAUUUUCCGCCUCUGCAGAGUGUCGAGAAAGCUACGAGAACAGCUGCUGACGGAGCAGACAUUCAAGCUUCUCUGUGUGGUGAGUACUGGGUGUGAGAAUAAUGAUGAUACAAGUACAUACACUAGAAAGGAUAUGAUUGCACCGGAUAAGUUGCACUCACAUUUGGUGCAAAUCCCAUCAUCCUUUAAAGCUAAUGUACUUAGUCCGCGUCAGCAAUAUUGUCGCUUAUCUUUCAAGUUUCAGCUUUGUGUUUAUGUCACCAAUGCUCAC